rnacentral:rRNA from 1 species
UCGGGAAUUUUGGGCAAUGGGCGAAAGCCUGACCCAGCAACGCCGCGUGAAGGAUGAAGUAUUUCGGUAUGUAAACUUCGAAAGAAUAGGAAGAAUAAAUGACGGUACUAUUUAUAAGGUCCGGCUAACUACGUGCCAGCAGCCGCGGUAAUACGUAGGGACCAAGCGUUGUUCGGAUUUACUGGGCGUAAAGGGCGCGUAGGCGGCAAUUCAAGUCAUCUGUGAAAUCUCCGGGCUUAACUCGGAACGGUCAGAUGAUACUGCUUUGCUAGAGUGCAGAAGGGGCAAUCGGAAUUCUUGGUGUAGCUGUGAAAUGCGUAGAUAUCAAGAGGAACACCUGAGGUGAAGACGGGUUGCUGGGCUGACACUGACGCUGAGACGCGAAAGCGUGGGGAGCAAACAGGAUUAGAUACCCCUGUAGUCCCUGAGCGGGCUGGCAAGGCGCAU